rnacentral:misc_RNA from 1 species
GAUGAAGAACGUAGCGAAAUGCGAUACUUGGUGUGAAUUGCAGAAUCCCGUGAACCAACGAGUCUUUGAACGCAAGUUGCGCCCGAAGCCAUCAGGUUGAGGGCACGUCUGCCUGGGCGUCACAUAUCGUUGCCCAAUGCCUAUUGCAGUGCAAUAGGAAUUUCUAGGGCGAAUGAUGGCUUCCCGUGAGCGUUGUUGCCUCGCGGUUGGUUGAAAAUCGAGUCCUUGGUAGGGUGUGCCAUGGUAGAUGGUGGUCGAGUUAGAACGAUACCGAUCAUGUGCAUGCUCCCCAAAAUAUGGCCUCUAUGACCCACACGCGUCUUUUGACGCUCAUGACGAGACCUCAGGUCAGGCGGGGCUACCCGCUGAAUUUAAGCAUAUCAAUAAGCGGAGGA